rnacentral:rRNA from 1 species
AUGAACGCUGGCGGCGUGCCUAAUACAUGCAAGUCGAGCGAACGGACGAGAAGCUUGCUUCUCUGAUGUUAGCGGCGGACGGGUGAGUAACACGUGGAUAACCUACCUAUAAGACUGGGAUAACUUCGGGAAACCGGAUCUAAUACCGGAUGAUAUUUUGAACCGCAUGGUUCAAAAGUGAAAGACGGUCUUGCUGUCACUUAUAGAUGGAUCCGCGCUGCAUUAGCUAGUUGGUAAGGUAACGGCUUACCAAGGCAACGAUGCAUAGCCGACCUGAGAGGGUGAUCGGCCACACGGGAACUGAGACACGGUCCAGACUCCUACGGGAGGCAGCAGUAGGGAAUCUUCCGCAAUGGGCGAAAGCCUGACGGAGCAACGCCGCGUGAGUGAUGAAGGUCUUCGGAUCGUAAAACUCUGUUAUUAGGGAAGAACAUAUGUGUAAGUAACUGUGCACAUCUUGACGGUACCUAAUCAGAAAGCCACGGCUAACUACGUG